rnacentral:tRNA from 1 species
AUUUAUGUAGUUUAAGUAAAACAUUACAUUUUCACUGUAAAAAUAUUAUAUUUAAUCAUAAAUU